CCUACGGGAGGCAGCAGUAGGGAAUAUUGCUCAAUGGGGGAAACCCUGAAGCAGCAACGCCGCGUGGAGGAUGAAGGUUUUAGGAUUGUAAACUCCUUUUGUUAGAGAAGAUUAUGACGGUAUCUAACGAAUAAGCACCGGCUAACUCCGUGCCAGCAGCCGCGGUAAUACGGAGGGUGCAAGCGUUACUCGGAAUCACUGGGCGUAAAGAGUGCGUAGGCGGGGUAAUAAGUCAGAUGUGAAAUCCUGUAGCUUAACUACAGAACUGCAUUUGAAACUGUUACUCUGGAGUGUGGGAGAGGUAGGUGGAAUUCUUGGUGUAGGAGUGAAAUCCGUAGAUAUUAGAAGGAACACCAAUAGCGUAGGCAGGUUGCUGGGACGGUUCUGACACUAAGGCACGAAAGCGUAGGGAGCAAACGGGAUUAGAUACCCGGGUAGUC
rnacentral:rRNA from 1 species